AUGCAAGUCGAGCGGUAAGGCCUUUCGGGGUACACGAGCGGCGAACGGGUGAGUAACACGUGGGUGAUCUGCCCUGCACUUCGGGAUAAGCCUGGGAAACUGGGUCUAAUACCGGAUAUGACCUCAGGUUGCAUGACUUGGGGUGGAAAGAUUUAUCGGUGCAGGAUGGGCCCGCGGCCUAUCAGCUUGUUGGUGGGGUAAUGGCCUACCAAGGCGACGACGGGUAGCCGACCUGAGAGGGUGACCGGCCACACUGGGACUGAGACACGGCCCAGACUCCUACGGGAGGCAGCAGUGGGGAAUAUUGCACAAUGGGCGAAAGCCUGAUGCAGCGACGCCGCGUGAGGGAUGACGGCCUUCGGGUUGUAAACCUCUUUCAGCAGGGACGAAGCGCAAGUGACGGUACCUGCAGAAGAAGCACCGGCUAACUACGUGCCAGCAGCCGCGG
rnacentral:rRNA from 1 species